UACGAAGGGGGCUAGCGUUGUUCGGAAUUACUGGGCGUAAAGCGCGCGUAGGCGGACUGCUAAGUCAGGGGUGAAAUCCCGAGGCUCAACCUCGGAAUUGCCUCUGAUACUGGCUGUCUUGAGUCCGGGAGAGGUGAGUGGAAUUCCUAGUGUAGAGGUGAAAUUCGUAGAUAUUAGGAAGAACACCAGUGGCGAAGGCGGCUCACUGGCCCGGUACUGACGCUCAUGUGCGAAAGCGUGGGGAGCAAACAGG
rnacentral:misc_RNA from 1 species